rnacentral:tRNA from 1 species
GCGCCGGUGGUGUAAGGCGAACAUCGCUGCCCGGAAAGCAGAAGAUGCGGGUUCGAGUCACGCCUGGCGCU